GACAACAAGAACAAAAAGUAUUCCUAGACCUGUGCCAAAGCCAAGGCCAAAACUUUCAAUAUUGAACUUGGAACCUACUGUGAAGAACAUAAGAAAUACAUUUAAAGGUUGUUAGUAACUACUUUUUGAAAAGCCCGAAAGCAGGCACAGAAGACGAAAAGGAAACUUAAAGAGACCUCCGGCGGACAAAGGCUUUGUCCACAUUACGUUUGGCAAAAUUUGCAGUUUGCAGUGAUGGAUAUUGAUUUGAUAGUCAAACUUCUGAUGUCAAUAACUUCAUACAUCAACAAAGUUCUUGAAUCGGUGUAGUGAAAAACCAAUUCUUUUUUCUCACCAAAA